CAGCAGCCGCGGUAAUACGUAGGGUGCGAGCGUUAAUCGGAAUUACUGGGCGUAAAGCGUGCGCAGGCGGUUGUGUAAGACAGGUGUGAAAUCCCCGGGCUUAACCUGGGAACUGCGUUUGUGACUGCACAGCUAGAGUAUGGCAGAGGGGGGUGGAAUUCCACGUGUAGCAGUGAAAUGCGUAGAGAUGUGGAGGAACACCGAUGGCGAAGGCAGCCCCCUGGGCCAAUACUGACGCUCAUGCACGAAAGCGUGGGGAGCAAACAGGAUUAGAUACCCCCGUAGUCCCUGUCUCUUAUAU
rnacentral:rRNA from 1 species